GGCACAGAUACGGAGAAAUGUUAUUUAUUCUAUAUAUCAGUUCAAACCGGUGCUCGUAAAGAAGGAUCAGGAGGCUGGAAAGAAGGAGAAAUCGGAAGAAGUUGUAACAAAUGGUAGAGGCACAAAUAAUAAUAAUUCAGGUCCAGUCGCUGCUGAAUCAUCGUCUUCAGCUAUCAAUCCCAAAACAACUGCUUAAAUUUCUGCAGUUUCCCCCCUUUUUGCGUUUAAGAACUUGUAUCGGCAUA
rnacentral:misc_RNA from 1 species